AGUUUUCUUCUAUAAAAGUUUCUCUUAUGAGAAAACACGGUUACCCUCUAUAAGAACACUUUGUCUUUACAGCAGUUUUGUAUUAUACCAACAUCCGCAGAUGCAGAUGAAUAGCAUAAGUAACCCCUUUGCAUGGAAAACGGUUAUAAAAACCAGAUAUUUUACCAUAAGAGAUUGGAGGGAAAACAGUGGUUUAAAAAGAAUGAUUGGAUUUCAAACGUGAAUAUUUCUAAGAGUAAAUGGUACUUUUUUUAAAUUCUAAAGCUGUCCAAUGUGCUCUUCGAAUAUCACACAUGUAUUCAAACUUCUACCCUACACAUUACAGUAAGUUGGCAGUCACAGGAGCAAUGUUGCUGGGAAAUAAAAAUGGCCACAAUGGAGUGUCUAAUUUUUGAUUGGUUGUUAUCGGCGGCCAUGCUGCAUUGAGAUUUUGUUACAUGUGUGUCAUACAUGUAUUGUGUGUUGCCUACACUGCAAUUGCUUUGAUAUUUGAUUUUAAAUUUGAGUUUUAGAUGUACAUGGCGGUUGAGCAGAGCUUUUAGCUCCUACUGUCUCGUAUCAAGUCACUGUAACAUACUUUGGCACUCAGCGGUAGCUAAUUUGAACUUUAUACCUUGCACUUUCAUUCGAGGUCCGCCAGAGAUAUGUAGGUCUAAUUUUCAUUAACAGAAUUCCUCUCUUGACCUGACAAAAGUAGGCGUAACAGAUCCGGAAGUCCCGAUGGUGAGCCACGAAUUUGAACGACCCUGUACAUAUGGUUUGUUUCCUUACGACUAAUGAUUGUCUUACGUGAUAAAUCUGAAUUUUGUGAAAUAUACCACUCGCCUUUUCCCAAAGUCUGAUCUCCUAGAUGUUAGUGUCAGAACCGAGAAGUCAUCGUCUGUCGGUUCGUUUAUUUGAAGUAGCCCAGAGACAAGGUAAAUUAAAGACUUCGUACGAGUUAAUUAGGCUUAUUCCUUAAUUAACAUUUUUGGAAAUAAACGCUUUAUCAUUCACAAUCUACACAAACAUUUUACAAUAAAUGCAAAUAUUAGGUACUCAAGGGAAUGCAUUAGUACGAACCAAUUUUCGUAGCUCAUCAUCUGAACAAAAAAAUCUGAAGAAAUUGUGGUCAAAUUGCUACUAAACUCCAUUAGGGCUGCAUCGAAGAACAGAGUCACGGACUUACAAAAUUUUUGGUUUCUAGCACAGAAUUGAGGUUCAUGUGUCUCUGAAUAAGUACUAAACGAGUCGCUUGCAUUGCUACGAACUACCUUUCAUG